GGGCCCUUAGCUCAGUCUGGUUAGAGCGCUCGGCUCAUAACGCGGCCGCACCUCGUGCGGUUGUGUGAGACACCGAGUGGUCGAUGGUUCGAAUCCGUCAGGGCCCA
rnacentral:tRNA from 2 species